rnacentral:rRNA from 1 species
GAUGAACGCUGGCGGCGUGCCUAAUACAUGCAAGUCGAGCGAACAGACGAGAGUGCUUGCACUCUCUGACGUUAGCGGCGGACGGGUGAGUAACACGUGGGUAACCUACCUAUAAGACUGGGAUAACUUCGGGAAACCGGAGCUAAUACCGGAUAAUAUUUAGCUUCGCAUGAAGCAAUAGUGAAAGACGGUUCUGCUGUCACUUAUAGAUGGACCCGCGGUGUAUUAGCUAGUUGGUGAGGUAACGGCUCACCAAGGCAACGAUACAUAGCCGACCUGAGAGGGUGAUCGGCCACACUGGGACUGAGACACGGCCCAGACUCCUACGGGAGGCAGCAGUAGGGAAUCUUCCGCAAUGGACGAAAGUCUGACGGAGCAAUGCCGCGUGAGUGAAGAAGGUUUUCGGAUCGUAAAACUCUGUUGUAAGGGUAGAACAAGUACGUUAGUAACUGAACGUACCUUGACGGUACCUUACCAGAAAGCCACGGCUAACUACGUG